UGGGGAAUUUUGGACAAUGGGCGAAAGCCUGAUCCAGCAAUGCCGCGUGUGUGAAGAAGGCCUUCGGGUUGUAAAGCACUUUUGUCCGGAAAGAAGUCCUUGGCUCUAAUACAGUCGGGGGAUGACGGUACCGGAAGAAUAAGCACCGGCUAACUACGUGCCAGCAGCCGCGGUAAUACGUAGGGUGCAAGCGUUAAUCGGAAUUACUGGGCGUAAAGCGUGCGCAGGCGGUUUGCUAAGACCGAUGUGAAGUCCCCGGGCUCAACCUGGGAACUGCAUUGGUGACUGGCAGGCUAGAGUAUGGCAGAGGGGGGUAGAAUUCCACGUGUAGCAGUGAAAUGCGUAGAGAUGUGGAGGAAUACCGAUGGCGAAGGCAGCCCCCUGGGCCAAUACUGACGCUCAUGCACGAAAGCGUGGGGAGCAAACAGGAUUAGAUACCCUGGUAGUCCACGCCCUAAACGAUGUCAACUAGUUGUUGGGGAUUCAUUUCCUUAGUAACGUAGCUAACGCGUGAAGUUGACCGCCUGGGGAGUACGGUCGCAAGAUUAAAACUCAAAUGAAUUGAC
rnacentral:rRNA from 1 species